GCAAACUUGGUCAUUUAGAGGAAGUAAAAGUCGUAACAAGGUCUCCGUAGGUGAACCUGCGGAGGGAUCAUUACAGAGUUCGUGCCCUCACGGGUAGAUCUCCCACCCUUGUGUAUUUCAUACCUGUGUUGCUUUGGCAGGCCGCUGGGUUGCGUUGCGGCCUGGCCACCGGCUCCUUGGGGCUGGUGCGCGCCUGCCAGAGGCUCCUUCAACUCCUGUUUGUCAGUGUUGUCUGAGUAUCAUGCAAAUCGUUAAAACUUUCAACAACGGAUCUCUUGGUUCUGGCAUCGAUGAAGAACGCAGC
rnacentral:misc_RNA from 1 species